AACGAACGCUGGCGGCAGGCUUAACACAUGCAAGUCGAGCGCCCCGCAAGGGGAGCGGCAGACGGGUGAGUAACGCGUGGGAAUCUACCCAUCUCUACGGAACAACGCAUGGAAACGUGUGCUAAUACAGUAUACGUACUUCGGGAGACAGAUUUAUCGGAGAUGGAUGAGCCCGCGUUGGAUUAGCUAGUUGGUGGGGUAAAGGCCUACCAAGGCGACGAUACAUAGCUGGUCUGAGAGAAUGAUCAGCCAAACUGGGACUGAGACACGGCCCAGACUCCUACGGGAGGCAGCAGUGGGGAAUAUUGGACAAUGGGCGCAAGCCUGAUCCAGCCAUGCCGCGUGAGUGAUGAAGGCCCUAGGGUUGUAAAGCUCUUUCACCGGUGAAGAUAAUGACGGUAACCGGAGAAGAAGCCCCGGCUAACUUCGUGCCAGCCGCCGCAGUAACAC
rnacentral:rRNA from 1 species